GGAAAGGAAGCCUGGGCUGGUGGAGUGGCCCGGCCUAAACCGGCCUGUUAGGAGCUGGGGUGAGACAUCUAGGGCCGUGGGGGAAGGCGGGGACUCGCGCUGCGGACACCGUUAGACGGAACUCCCCUUCUGCCUCCUGGUCUACAGGACUUGUGAAAGCAACUACCCAUCAGCUGGGACCCCCGUCCUAAAAGACAGUCCCACAGGCGCAAAUGAUGCUACAGCAAAGAGGUGAUCCUGAGUUCCUCAAAAUUAUGCUAUUGGAGGAAAAGCUCUAACCAGCUUGAAAGAUUUCAUGUAGUCCUGGCCUAGAUUUCCAGGUUUGGAAGGCCUGGUACGGCCACACGAGCAGUGGCCACAUGCCUCAGCAGGCAUAGCAGAUCACAGGAUCCUUGAUGGAGAGCUGGACAGAAUGUCAUCGAUUCCAAGACCCUCAUUGUAUGGAGGAGGAAAUUAAAGCCCAGGGAGGUCAAAGGACUUCCCUAAAUUCACAUGGAGAAUAAAGAAUUGAACCCA